rfam:Rhodoferax fermentans strain JCM 7819 contig02, whole genome shotgun sequence.
AACAAAUCUAUUGCUCGCCAGGUCCGCGCAUUACCGUGUGUGGAUGAGGGCGGCGACAGUGCAAGCU